UCUCAGCAGCGCAUUGGUCAAGCUGGGUGAUUGACACGUCCAAUAGAACCGCCAGAGCCAGUAGAAUCGACGGACACCAUUCGCUAUCUGUGAGGGGUCGAACCCACUGUGACGACUUUUCACCCGCCACCAUUUGAAAUGCGACUUCCGCCUGUGUAGUCGAAGUAGGACGGACCAGGCGGAUAAACAUCUUGAAAUGACGAGCGCUCUUUGUGCUCGCUAACGGAAUCGGAUUUAUGGAUAAAAACACAACUUUUCCUGCAAAUACUUCGACGAAAAGCCGCAGGCGAAUCCUUGAGUUGCCGGAGGUGCAGUUUUAAAAAAACCAGCGGAAAAGUCUGUGUGAGUGACGGCGCCGCACGAUGGUGAGCAAAUAUUUGAUUUGAACAUCUCAGGCGUUCAAGGGUCCGACGGUGUCAUCGGUUGGAAGUCCCAUGGACAGCCCUUCAUCUCCCAUGGAUUGACUCUCCCUUCGCACGAUGAUCUUGGCCGCGUGUCUCAAACAGAGAUGCCUCAAGGAAGGACGUCCAACCUGCACCGGAGUCAAGCACCCAUGAUGGUACCAGACCAACAGACGGGGCCCCCCAUUAGACGCGCGUGGUACCUUUCCCUGGCACCCGAGGACCGCCGGCAGUCAGGUGAAACGGAAGUGAUUCAUUGAGGGAAUGUGUGAUUGUAAAAUCUCCAUGAUUAAAUCAAUGUUUGGAGUUCUCUGACACUCCCUCAAAUCACCCUUUAGCCCCCGCGGCCCUUUCACUUCCUCGCCCUAGAGGACAGCAGGGAGGGAGGCGUUCUUUCAUUAAUAUUUCAAAAAAACCACACAGCGCCAGUGUCGGCCCGCUACUGAAGAACUGAUGCACAAAAAAGACAGUAGGGGCCACAUUCAUGUCUACCUCCACCAUGUAGACAGUGCUGUUGUUGUGGCCAAGGUAGAAAGGAAACAAGGAAACCUUGCAGGUGCCUCCUCUCUUUAAUCUACCCCCCCCCCCCCCCCCCCCACCAUUAUC